UACGGAGGGUGCAAGCGUUAUCCGGAAUCACUGGGUUUAAAGGGUGCGUAGGCGGCACAAUAAGUCAGAAGUGAAAGGCUGUAGCUUAACUAUGGAAUUGCUUUUGAUACUGUUGAGCUUGAAUUGGGUUGAGGUUAGCGGAAUGAGUCAUGUAAGUCGAAU
rnacentral:rRNA from 1 species